GUACAGAGGUCUCAAGCGUUGUUCGGAUUCAUUGGGCGUAAAGGGUGCGUAGGUGGCGGGGUAAGUCAGAUGUGAAAUCUCGGAGCUCAACUCCGAAACUGACAUUUGAUACUGCCUUGCUUGAGUACUGGAGAGGAGGAUUGGAAUUUACGGGUGUAGCAGUGAAAUGCGUAGAUAAUCGUAAGGAAGACCAGUGGCGAAGGCGAAUCUCUGGACAGUUACUGACACUGAGGCACGAAGGCCAGGGGAGCAAACGGG
rnacentral:rRNA from 1 species